CUACGGGGGGCAGCAGUGGGGAAUAUUGCACAAUGGACGAAGGUCUGAUGCAGCAACGCCGCGUGGAGGAUGACACAUUUCGGUGCGUAAACUCCUUUUAUAUAGGAAGAUAAUGACGGUACUAUAUGAAUAAGCACCGGCUAACUCCGUGCCAGCAGCCGCGGUAAUACGGAGGGUGCAAGCGUUACUCGGAAUUACUGGGCGUAAAGAGCGUGUAGGCGGGUGCAUAAGUUGGAAGUGAAAUCCUAUGGCUCAACCAUAGAACUGCUUCCAAAACUGUACACCUAGAAUGUGGGAGAGGUAGAUGGAAUUUCUGGUGUAGGGGUAAAAUCCGUAGAUAUCAGAAGGAAUACCGAUUGCGAAGGCGAUCUACUGGAACACUAUUGACGCUGAGACGCGAAAGCGUGGGGAGCAAACAGGAUUAGAUACCCCAGUAGUC
rnacentral:rRNA from 1 species